CUUAACCCGACAUAGGGCGUGGGGCGGGGCUUGCCGUGACGGCCACCACUCCUAUUGGUCAGCGCGAACGGCAACGUCCUCUGCGAUAGGCUGUAGAUGAAAAGGGCGGGCCUCCACUGCUCUGGGACUGGCGGGAGGGCGGUGCAGAGGGAGAUGGGCGGGAGGAGCUGGGCCGACAUGCCGAAGGAGGCGGGCAAGGCGAGACGCGUGCUCACGGUUUCUAUAAACGUAACAUUCCCCAAUGGAUGGAAGAUGGCCACAGCUCUAAAAAUCACAGGGAGCUUUAAUGGAAGAAAAUAGAAGAUCACAGCUGUUCCCAUGGACUAAACUGGCAGACCUGCGACUGCAUCAAGUAGUCUGCCAGUGGAACUAAGCAGCGUGUGUUUGUCAUCGAGACCGUGGGCGGCUACUGUGGCUACCUCGCCAACAUGGGGGGCUCACGGCCAGAGCCGAUGCUGCAUACAUUUUCGAAGAGCCAUUCGACAUCAGGGAUCUGCAGUCCAAUGUGGAGCACCUGACGAAGAAAAUGAAGACCACCAUCCAGAGGGGCCUUGUCCUCAGCUAUCCAUAAAGACCUAGAAAUAAAAACAUGAAUUCUGUGAAAUAGAAAUCGUCAUUUCUAUUUAACAGCAAAGUGUUACUGUAUAACUGAUAUUUCAUAUGACUCUAACCACCAAAAGAGUGGGGCACCCUCUCCAUUUGAUAGAAACUUUGGAACCAAAAUCUCUGCCAGAGCUAUGGAGUGGAUCACUGUGAAACUCAAGGAGGCCCGGGGCAGAGGAAAAAAAUUGGCCACUGAUGAUUCCAUUUGUGUGCUGGGAAUAAGCAAAAGAAACGUUAUUUUUCAACCUGUGGCAGAGCUGAAGAAGCAAACAGAUUGAAUAAGUCGGGGUCUUACAGCCUUAGCAAACCUAGCCAAUGCACAGGAUUCCCAAAGAACAGUGGUGGCUCAAGCUGCGGCCCCUCAUGAACAUCCUGGUCAAGUACAAGGCCAGCUUUGAAGUGUCGAACUCAGGCCAGCUAGAGCACAUGCAGCCCUGGAGCAUCUGACCCAGUCCUGCCUGCAUGUGCCUGCAACCUGGACUCACCGUGGACCAUCUGUUUUUGUAACACUUAAGUUAUUUAUCAGCACUUUAUGCAAGUAUUAUUGAUACUAAUACCUAACCAGCAAGCACCUGUCACCGCCCGUGUGCCCCACCAGCUCCAGUGCGUGCUGUCUGUGGACUGUGUCUCAUGCUUUCAGAUGUGCGUAUUAAACGUUUGCCUACAACUCCA